UUUUUCUUUUUCUUGUUCUUUUUUUGUUUUCUGUCUUCUUGGGUUUCUCUUCCCAACAAACUUUUCGAAAAUG
rnacentral:ribozyme from 13 species